CCAGUGAGCAUUGCAACAGCAGUUAUAGUAAAGAACAAUGGCCGCAAGCCUGUCACUCUAACUAGUGCUAUACUAAGUCAUCUCAAGUUCAAGAGGCGAGGAAAGGCAGCAAUUCAAGGAUUCAAGGGUUGCUCCUACUGCCCACUCCCUCCUUUAUCUUCUCCUUUUGAAAUUUUAUCUCCUGGUGAAGCCAUGAAAUCUGAGUCUUCAGGAGUUUUUGAUUUUGGUUCUGAGCCUGAGGACAAACCAGGCACAUGGAGAGUUCAAGAUGUACCCUUCACAAUUUUGAAGAAUAAGUUCAGCAGAGUUUAUGCUGCUCCACCACAAGAAAGACUAAAAGCUAUUUAUAACACCCCACCUUCAAAAUAUGAAACACUUGACCAGGGACUUGAGCUUUUCUUUAGGGUGAUUCGGAUGGGUUUCGAAGACACAUACAUAGGGAGCCCAGGUUCCUUAUCAGAGAAGUAUGGUCAGGAGUAUUUUAUCUGCACUGGCCCUGCUGCAAUGCUGGUGCCUGUUAUUGUGGAACCAGGUGAAGAUUGGAGAGGGGAACAGGUUAUUGAGCAUGAUAAUUUGUAAUUAUAUAAAAAAUUAAAAUUCAUCUUACUCUUCUUUUUCAGUUUCCGUGGUUGUCAGAUUGGUUGGUUUGUCUCAUAAUCAAUCUUGUAAUCACGUAGUUAUCUUUACUCAAGAGAUGUCAUUAUAGUUGAUCAGUCCCUGAAGCUUAUUUUGAUUUAAAGCCCAAAGAAGUGAAAUAGAAUGAAUACUUGUACUAUUUGUAAGAGCUUAUUUAAGUUCCUUAGCAGCUUGGAAAGAGAAGGCCUUGAGGACAUCUGAAGAGAAGGCCUUGAGGACAUCUAACAAGUGUUUUGCUGCAAAAUGUUGGUAGUUGUAAACCAAUUUAGAAAUCAAUAAAGUGGUAAUGCAGACAAGAUCAGC
rnacentral:misc_RNA from 1 species